GUGUAGCGCUUCUGCUGGUCACCAAACAUCCCCCUGGCUCAUUUGUGUACAUUUAAAGACAAACUUCUGAAUCAGCUGUCUGAUUUGGUCUCUUAGUGCUGCACACAUGCAGGCCACCUUCCCUGCAUGAACACCUGUGUCGUUCAAACACAACAAACAAAACAACAGGAGCAUCUUUUGUCUGUGGACAGACCCAGCAGCAGAGGAGACACGAGACAAAAGAGGGAACAGGUCUCUCUUUGCUUUCCCCUGCGGGACUGAAGAGGCAGGAGCUGCCAGAUCAGCGCCACAUCAACCUGAGCUGUAAACACCGACAGCAGCAUUAACAUUAAACCCCCAGCUGAGGUCUUUAACUGUCAGACAAAGUGCCUGCAGGAUGGUGAAUUGGAGUGUGGGAGAACAUUUAUGUGGAAAGAUAAAAACCAGACAGACAGGUUCCACAGCAGGCGGACUGAGAUUCGGGUUCUCUGAAAACAAGCUGGGGUGAAAUUAAACCCUGUAUUUGACCCCACCGAAACCCUCAGCUGAGUGAGAUGCGAUGGUUUCAGCUCAGACAUGAAUGAGACACUGAUUCUGACUAAUCAGGAGGACAGCAGCUGAAAUCCACGGAUCCUCCUGAAGCGCAGACAAAGACGCGCGCCUCUCUGACUGAUUUACAGAUUUCCACUUAUCCCUAACAAGUCCACAUUAAGCUCCAUGACAACACAAAGCGAGAGUCGCGGAAGUGUCCCCUAAAAACCCAACAGAAAGGAGCCGCAGUGCGUUUUCUCCGCGCUGGAUGAGGCGCGGCGGUGCGUCCUCGCCGCUUCGCUCCAACACGUUUUAGUUUUUACCUUUAAUGUAGUCGGAUUUGGUCUCAUCCAGAAGACCGGACGCGGAGUUCCCCAUGGUGCUGCUGCCUGGAGAGGAUCAACAGAGCCAUUGAGAAGCGGCGACAUCACCGAGGCAACUGAGCAAAAACCAAUGAAAAUCAAUCUCCAGCUGGUCCAUCUGUCCAAUCUGCUGCUCCUAAUGAAGUGUCCUCUCAGAUGAUCUGGGAUCAGGUCCAAACACCACAGGGUGAAGCAGCUUUCAGUUUUUAUGCUCUAUAUAUCUAAAGCUAACUUCAAGUCUUCUCCAACUCUCAGUUCUUUUAAAUCAGAGCUCAAUACUUCACAUUGAAGCACAUUGAAGAGCCUUGUUGUUGAAAAUGUGCUGCACAGAUAAACUUGCCUUUCUGUUCUAAUUGAUGACUUAAAUUGCAAUAAAAUUUCUU